rnacentral:tRNA from 2 species
CGGCACGUAGCGCAGCCUGGUAGCGCACCGUCAUGGGGUGUCGGGGGUCGGAGGUUCAAAUCCUCUCGUGCCGAUCA